rnacentral:rRNA from 1 species
ACGAACGCUGGCGGCAUGCCUCACACAUGCAAGUCGCACGCGACCUUCGGGUCUAGUGGCGCACGGGUGCGUAACGCGUGGGAACCUGCCCUUAGGUUCGGAAUAACUCCCCGAAAGGGGUGCUAAUACCGGAUAAUGUCUUCGGACCAAAGAUUUAUCGCCUUUGGAUGGGCCCGCGUUGGAUUAGCUAGUUGGUAGGGUAAAAGCCUACCAAGGCGACGAUCCAUAGCUGGUCUGAGAGGAUGAUCAGCCACACUGGGACUGAGACACGGCCCAGACUCCUACGGGAGGCAGCAGUGGGGAAUAUUGGACAAUGGGCGAAAGCCUGAUCCAGCAAUGCCGCGUGAGUGAUGAAGGCCUUAGGGUUGUAAAGCUCUUUUACCCGGGAUGAUAAUGACAGUACCGGGAGAAUAAGCUCCGGCUAACUCCGU